rnacentral:rRNA from 1 species
UAACAAAAACAUGUCUUUUUGAAUUUAAAUAUAAAGUCUAAUCUGCCCACUGAUAAAUUAUUUAAUGGCCGCAGUAUUUUAACUGUGCAAAGGUAGCAUAAUAAUUAGUUUUUUAAUUGAAAGCUUGUAUGAAUGAUUGGACGAGAUAUAAACUGUCUCAUAAAAAUUUUUUUUAGAAUUUAAUUUUUUAGUAAAAAAGCUAAAAUAAAUUUAAAAGACGAGAAGACCCCAUAGAUCUUUAUAUUUUUUUUAUAGUAAUUUUUUAGAUUUUUUUAUAAAUUAAUAAAUAAAAAUAUUUUGUUGGGGUGACAUUGAAAUUUAAUAAACUUUUAAAAUUUUAAAACAUUAAUUUAUGAAUUUAUGAUCCUUUAUUAUUGAUUAACAAUUUAAGUUACCUUGGGGAUAACAGCGUAAUUAUUUUGGAGAGUUCAUAUCGAUAAAAUAGAUUGCGACCUCGAUGUUGGAUUAAGAUUAAUUUUGAGUGUAGAAGUUCAAAAUAU